AGACUUUGAUCCUGGCUCAGAACGAACGCUGGCGGCAGGCCUAACACAUGCAAGUCGAACGCCCUGGCAACAGGGAGUGGCAGACGGGUGAGUAACGCGUGGGAAUCUACCUUGUGGUACGGAACAACCAAGGGAAACUUUGGCUAAUACCGUAUGAGCCCUUCGGGGGAAAGAUUUAUCGCCAUAAGAUGAGCCCGCGUAGGAUUAGCUAGUUGGUGAGGUAAUGGCUCACCAAGGCGACGAUCCUUAGCUGGUCUGAGAGGAUGACCAGCCACACUGGGACUGAGACACGGCCCAGACUCCUACGGGAGGCAGCAGUGGGGAAUAUUGGACAAUGGGCGCAAGCCUGAUCCAGCCAUGCCGCGUGUGUGAUGAAGGCCUUAGGGUUGUAAAGCACUUUCGCCGAUGAAGAUAAUGACUGUAGUCGGAGAAGAAGCCCCGGCUAACUUCGUGCCAGCAGCCGCGGUAAUACGAAGGGGGCUAGCGUUGUUCCGGAAUUACUGGGCGUAAAGCGUACGUAGGCGGAUUGUUAAGUGAGGGGUGAAAUCCCGAGGCUCAA
rnacentral:rRNA from 1 species